AUUGAACGCUGGCGGCAGGCUUAACACAUGCAAGUCGAGCGAGCGGCGGACGGGUGAGUAAUGUCUGGGAAACUGCCUGAUGGAGGGGGAUAACUACUGGAAACGGUAGCUAAUACCGCAUACCAUCAGAUGUGCCCAGAUGGGAUUAGCUAGUAGGUGGGGUAAUGGCUCACCUAGGCGACGAUCCCUAGCUGGUCUGAGAGGAUGACCCGGCACAACGGAACCUGGACAAGGUCCCGACUCCCACGGGGGGCAGGAGGGGGGGAUAUUGGACAAUGGGCGCAAGCCGUGUUCAGCCCUUGCGCGGGGGUGAAGAAGGCCUUCGGGUUGUAAAGCACUUUCAGCGAGGAGGCGUUACUCGCAGAAGAAGCACCGGCUAACUCCGUGCCAGCAGCCGCGGUAAUUC
rnacentral:rRNA from 1 species